rnacentral:rRNA from 1 species
UUUUCUGCCACCGAAUACAUUAGCAUGGGAUAAUGGAAUAGGACCCUGUCCUCCUAUCUUCAGUUGGUUAACUUGUAGAGGAUCAGGGUAAUGAUUAAUAGGGAUAGUUGGGGGCAUUAAUAUUUAAUUGUCAGAGGUGAAAUUCUUGGAUUUAUGAAAGAUUAACUUCUGCGAAAGCAUCUGCCAAGGAUGUUUUCAUUAAUCAAGAACGAAAGUUAGGGGAUCGAAGACGAUCAGAUACCGUCGUAGUCUUAACCAUAAACGAUGCCGACCAGCGAUUAGGAGACGUUGAAUACAAAACACCACCAUACAUAAUUCAGUAUAUGGCCAGUCAAAUGGCUGUAUAUUGUUUGUGUAUGGCACCGGUGAAUGACUCCCCUAGCAGCUUGUGAGAA